rnacentral:rRNA from 1 species
GACGAACGCUGGCGGCGUGCCUAAUACUUGCAAGUGGGACGCAAGGGAACACACUGUGCUUGCACACCGUGUUUUCUUGAGUCGCGAACGGGUGUGUAACGCGUAGGUAACCUGCCUAUUAGCGGGGGAUAACUAUUGGAAACGAUAGCUAAUACCGCAUAAUAUUAAUUAUUGCAUGAUAAUUGAUUGAAAGAUGCAAGCGCAUCACUAGUAGAUGGACCUGCGUUGUAUUAGCUAGUUGGUAAGGUAAGAGCUUACCAAGGCGACGAUACAUAGCCGACCUGAGAGGGUGAUCGGCCACACUGGGACUGAGACACGGCCCAGACUCCUACGGGAGGCAGCAGUAGGGAAUCUUCGGCAAUGGACGAAAGUCUGACCGAGCAACGCCGCGUGAGUGAAGAAGGUUUUCGGAUCGUACAAGCUCUGUUGUAAGUCAAGAACGUGUGUGAGAGUGGAAAGUUCACAC